rnacentral:rRNA from 1 species
ACGUGAUCUGAGUUCAGACCGGAGCAAUCCAGGUCGGUUUCUAUCUAUAACAGGGCUUAUUCUAGUACGAAAGGACCGAAAAAGCGUGGCCCAUACUUUAAGCAAGCCGCCACUAGCAACUUUUGCUAUCAACUUAAUUAGCAACUAACCUUCAACCUCCCUCAAGACAAGAGA